UACGAAAAAAGAACCGAUUUAAAGGAUAUUACCCGUAUGACCAUAACCGGGUGAUGCUGCAGGAUGACCGUGAUGGCCGUAAGGGAGAUUACAUCAACGCCAGCUUCCUGGACGGCUACAAGACAGAACGGUAUUACAUAGCAGCUCAAAG